UCCCUGGGGGCUCAGAUGGAAAAGCGUCUGCCUAUAAUGCAGGAGAACCAGGUUCAAUCCCUGGGUCAGGGAA
rfam:Ovis aries breed Texel chromosome 4, whole genome shotgun sequence.